CCGGACACCGUAAGGAUUGACAGACUGAUAGCUCUCUCUUGAUUCAGUGGGUGNUGGNGCAUGACNGUUCUUAGUUGGUGGAGUNAUUUGUCUGGUUUAUUCCGAUAACGAACGAGACUCUGGCCUAUUAAACUUGACGCUGUCAGUCUCUUGUGACUGCGGCGCGCUUCUUAGAGGGAUCAUCGGCGUCCCAGCNGAAGGAAAGGGAGCAAUAACAGGUCUGUGAUGCCCUUAGAUGUUCUGGGCUGCACGCGUGUUACACUGAAGUGGUCAGCGCGCCGUUCAACGUCCCUCUCCGUGAGGAGCGGGCAAACGUUUGAACCCUUUUCGUGAUGGGAAUUGGGGGUUGCAAUUGUCCCCCAUGAACGAGGAAUUCCAAGUAAGCGCAAGUCACUAGCUUGCGUUGAUUAAGUCCCUGCCCUUUGUACACACCGCCCGUCGCUACUACCGAUGGAUGAUUUGGUGAGGUCGCCUAGACUGGCUGCUGGCUUCGGCCGUNCGGCCGGGAAGACGCNCAAANUUGGUCGUCUAGAGGAAGUAAAAGUCG
rnacentral:rRNA from 1 species